UACUAAUCAUUUUUAUUAAACAUUUUCAAACUCUAAACUUUACAUUUAAAUCUUAAUAUUACUUGAAAAUAUUACAAAAUAAUAAUAACAAUUACAAAAAAUACAUUACAACUUAAUAAUAAAUUAAAAUAUAUAAAGAUAAAACACGUGGAAUCAUAGUCUUAGAUAUUCAUGUUCUUGGGUCGGGUAUGAAUCGAUUCUUAUUGGCUUGAGUAUAUUUGAGUCCGUUGUUUUCGGUUCUAUUUCUUUCGAGUAAAAGAAUUUUAGACCAAACUAAGUACUUAUAAAUUUUUAUUCGAUUUCAGGUUGGUUUCAAGUUGAAUUUUUGGAUCCGAGUAAAAUGCUCAAGCUUAAUUAAACAUGUAAAGUAUCAAUCAAAUAAAAUAAAUAUUUAACAAACAUAUUAAGUCAUUUUUAUUAUAAAUUUUUUAACAAAAUUUGACUAAUGUGGAACUGGUUAACAAGAUAAAUAAUUCAAAUCAAUUUAACAACUUUUAAAAUAAAAUUAAAACUAAUGCGAAACAGGUCAAAUUAAUGAAUAAAUUUAAUUAACCUAAUAAAAUAAAUAAAUUAAAUUAUAAAUAUAAUUUAAAAAUAUAUACAUUAGGUAAAAAAUCAUUUUUUGUUUUAUAAAAUUUUAUGUUAAAUCAAAAGUAAUUUCGCGCUUUGAAAGCUCGGGUCAAACCUAGUUUUAUGUUAUUCAAUUGAACUGAAUUCAGCCGAACCAUAUUAACCCAUCAUCCAAAUGUUUUUUUCAGUUUAGUUAUUAGUUAAGUUUUAAAAACAUUAGUUAAAUGAAAAUAAAACACUGUAAAAUACUAAAUGAAUUAGGAAAAGAAAUAUCUGAACUUAACCAAAAACACACAAUAUUUGAAUUUCGUUCUUAAUCGAGUUUGCAAUAUACUAAAUGAACUAGAAUUUUGUCAACGUUUCUGUGAAUUAUGAACCAAACAUUUUACAAUUAGACCAUGUAUCAAAACUAGAAAGGACUCCGAAAGUCUUUCAAUACUUGGUGGACAGCAAAAUCGGAGUUUAAAAAGUCGCCGGUCAGUGUAAAAAGUCAAAAACGCGUUAAACUGAAUAUUCUUUGGUACGGCUGAUGCUUUCAUAUUAUCUUUUUUUUGGUAAAAUGUUAAAAUUAUAUUACCAGUUUUCUAUUUUUUACGGAACAACAAAAAGAACAAGAAGUGGAAUGCAGAAAUGUAAAUUAAACAGAGCACCUAGUGAACAAAUAGAUUCAAAGUCGACAACCUGAGGACCUAAGUGCGAACUAGAGAUAGCGAAGCGUUGAUGCCCCCAAGGGAAUGGAAAGAGAGGAACGAGACCCCGGUUGCCGCGAGCUUCCAGAGAGAAAGGCGGCUCAAACCUUGAAGCAACGGGAAAACCUACAGCUUCCGAGAGACUCAAACAUCAAACCACACCGAGAAAUGCAACCACGGAACAGCUAGCCCGUUUGAAAUUGCCACACCGACAGCACGAAGAGAGUCCACAAACAGGCGGUGCCGUCGUUCGGGAUGAAGACCGGAGGUUGCUGUCUCCAACCCUCAAACCCCCGAGACCGUAUACACUCAUUUAACCCACCACACACGCAGAGUAAUGGGACAUGUUGGGCACAUCUCCUCCGGAAGAAGCAACUGUCAAACUAGCUAGAGCUCGAGUGCUCAACUAACACUUAUCCACACGCAGAGGACAAGACUGCAAACACAGAGCUAUCGCCACAAGAUGACAAUUAUUAUGGGAGAAGAGAUCGAAGUACGCGUCGCCACAGUCAAGAGCUCGGGUCUGAGAGACAGAGACACCAAAAGAGACGCGGAUGCAGUCUCGUGACUCGACACGCGCUGUCACGGAAACCCCCAAACCCGGGCGACAACACCGAGAGAGGAAGCUCCCAACACGCACCCACGACUGAAAACCAGCCACAGGAUCUCACACUAGCCAAGCGGAUCCGGACGAGCCAAGAAACCGAGACUCAAACCCAGCCAAGAAGAGACCUCGCCGAAGGGAGGCGGAAGAUGAAGAACCGCCGGGAUUGAAGCCUCAUCAGGACUCCACACGCCAUCAAUCUCCUGGUCCGAACCCUAGGUCCGGGAAAAAUUUGGUGAAACACCGACGAUCUGAACAGACGGGAAAGAGAAUCGACCUGGUUCGAGCACUUUCCUCACCACCGCCUUGGUACCUACAGAUCCGCCGGAAGGAUCUCCAACGAAGACACGAGGGCACCAACCACCCAUGAACCCGAGUCCAUCGACUGGCCCUAGCUCGAAAACGUCGCCGUCACACCAGAUAUGGCACCACCCACGCCAAACCUCUCAGAUCUACCGCGAAUAGAACAGAGGCUUGAGGCGGCAAAGCAAUCAAGAGCUUCGACAAAGACAGCAAAGAGGAGGAGAAAGCCGAUGGAGCAAAGAGGAAAAGAAAACAAGGAGCUCCCGACGACGGCCUGCGGAACCAUCGCCGUCGGAGCCGAAACGAUGAGAGGCGCUAGGGUUUUCUAGAGAGGAUUUUAGAGAUCGAGAGAGAGGAGCUUCCCUCCUUUCAUAUUAUCUUCUCUACUUAUAAAAUACCAUUUCACGAAACGUAACAAAGAAAAUCAGUUUUAAAAUGGCAACUUAUAAAUCAUGUGUAACUGCUCUUUUUCUGUCUUUACUUCUAUGUCUUUCUUCUCAAGUCGGUGUCGCCGAGGCCAAACGCUCCACACUUACUACCAAGUCUUCGGAUACCCGAUGCGCGAGAAACCCACCAAGUCAGUACCGGCGAGGAUGUUCCAGCGCCCCUGCGGCCCUGCCCCGACGGGCACACGUGCGAACCACUCUAACUCAACCAAAGGAAAAGGUCCAUAAGUGAAGAUGAACUUAAAGUUUCAAGAAGUGAUGGGGAGUUGAAGAAAUAUAUGUUUCAAGGGAAUGUCGAAUAAUCAAGUUUAUAUACUGUUGUGUAAUUGUUAAAAGUCUUAACAUGGAAUAAAUGUUAAAUAAUCAGAGCUAAGCUAUUCCAAAUUA